CGCCCUACAAUCCUGCUUUGUGCUGAGAUUGUAGUCCUGCAGGCGUACAACUAACAAGCUGGGUGCAGAUAAGAGACUACAGCUCCCCGCAUCCCAAGCAAAGGUCCCUCCUCUACGGAGCCCCUCCACGCGUCCACUGCGGUUCCGCCGUGCCAAGGGGAGCUUGGCUGUUCACGGGCCUCACCUGCUAGCGAGAAGAUAGCUUGGCCGGGCGGCUGAUCUCACCUUGUAAUUCUGACACUGUGUCUCCCGGGCUUGUCGGCUUCAUGACUUGUGCCCAAAGUUUGAUUUCUCGCAGACCAGGAGGACCCAUUGGACCCCCGGGCUGGCUGCAGGGCCCACACCUGGGUUAGACCUCGCACAGGGACGCUGCUGCCACUGUAAUAAAGCGUGCCUACACGCUUCUGAAACUGGUGUAGGAACAACCUCAGUUCUGUGAAAGGCGGACGCAGCAGGACAGAAUCUCCGUGGACAUCUGUCUGGAGGAGCAAUUUUACUGCGACAUUUUAAAGAAACAAAUUUAAUUGAUUUCCAAGGGUGUCCAUCGCGCUUCCUUCACUGCCUUGAUCAUGUCGGGGUCACCACCUGCGGGGGUUUGUCCUGCAGACCCUGACUCAACGACGGAUGAAUAAUGUACACUGACACAGAUCUUAUGCUUGUCAGUCCUGCUGAGCAUCCAGGCCACUUACAGACUCCAAGAAGAGUCCUGUCAGCCACGGCUCUGACUUGUUGGCCCUCCCGGCAUUUAUUUAGCACACAUUUAAUGACAGAAGUCUCAGGCUGGAAACACUCUUUUUGUAGAACAUACAAAUGGACAUUUCUAAGCACAUUGAGGCCUAUAAUGAAAAAUCAAAUAUCCCACAAUGAAAACUAGAAGGAAGCUAUCUGUGAUAAUGCUUUGUGGUGUAUGGAUUCAUCUCACUGACUGAAACCUGAGUUUUGAUUCACCAGGUUGGAAACUCUUUCUGCAGAAUCUGCAAAGAAAUAUUUCUGAGCCCAUUGAGGCCUACAGUGGAAAACUGAAUAUUCUGUGAUAAAACUAGAAACACCCUAUCUGUGAAAAUGCUUUGUGAUGUGUGGAUUUUUCUCAUCGAAUGGAACCUCUGUUUUGACUCACAAGGGUGAAACACUAUUUUAGUAGAAUCUAGGAAGAAACAUAUCUGAGCCCAUUUAUGCCUACAGUGAGAAACUGAAUACCCUGCAAUAAAAAGUAGACAGAAGCUAUUUGUAAAAAUGCUUUGUGAUGUGUGGAUUCAGUGUUAAACUUUUAUUUUGAUUCCACAGUUUUGACACCCUAUUUGUAGAAUAUAUGAAUGAACAUUUCUCAGCCCAUUGAGGCCUAUCAUGUGAAACCAAAUAUUUUAUAAUAAAAACUGGAAACAAGUGAUCUGUUAAAAUGUUUUUUAGUGUGUGAAUUUGUUUCACAAAGAUAAAUCUUUGCAUGGAUUCAACAGGUUGGAAACAUUAUUGUAGAACCUAUGAAGGGAUGUUUUUAGCCUAUUAAGGACUAUAUAUAUAAAAAAAACUAGAAACAAGCUGUCUGUGAAAAUGCUUUGUGAUGUGUGGAUUCAUCUCACAGAGUUCCACCUUUGUUUUUAUUCAACAGGUUAAAAACGCUCUUUUUGUAGAACCUACAAAAAGACAUUUCUGAGCCCAUUGAGGCCUACAGUGAAAAACCAAGAAUCCCAUAAUACAAUCUAGAAAACAAGCUAUCUAGGAAACUGUUUUGGAUGUGUGGAUUCAUUUAACAGAAUGGAAAUAGUGUUUUGAUUCACCAUGUUUGAAACACUCUUUUUGUGGAAUGCACGAAGAACAUUCUUUGUGGAAGAACAUUGAUGCCUAUAGUGAUUAACCAAAUAUCACGUGAUGCAAACUAGAAACAAGCUAUCUGUGAAAAUGCCUUGCAGCGUAUGGAUUCAUGUCACAGAGUUACACCUAUGUUUUGAUUCAACAGGUUGGAAACAAUCUUUUUGUAGAAUCUACAAAGGAAUAUUUCUGAGCCAAUUGAGUUCUAGAGUGAAAAACAGAAUAUCCUGUGAUAAAAACUAUAAAUAAGCUCUCUGUGAAAUUGCUUUGAGACUGUGGAUGCAUCUUUCAGAGUUAUGCCCUUGCUUAUAUUCAACAGGUUGGAAACACUUUUCUUGUAGAAUCUAUGAAGGGAUAUUUCUGAACCUAUUGAGGCCUAUGGUGAAAAAUUGAAUAUUCUGCGAUAUAAACCAGAAACAAGCUCUCUGUGAAAAUGCUUUUCCAUGUGUGCAUCCAUCUUACAGAGUUAAACGUUUGUUUAGAUUCAACAGGUUGGAAAUACUCUUUUUGUAGAAUCUAUGAAGGGAUAUUUCUGAACUUUUUGAGGCCUAUUGGCAAAAUCCGAAUAUUACGUGAUAAAAACUAGAAACAAGGUAUCAGUGAAAAUGCUUUGUGAUGUGUGGGUUUAUCUCACCAAAUAAAACCUGUGUCUUGAUUCACCAGGUUGGACACACUUUUUUUUCUAUAACCUACAUAGGGCGAUUUCUGAGCCUAUUGAGGUCUAUAGCAAAGCAACAACAACAAAUAUCCUGUCUUAUAAUCUAGAAAGAAGUUAUCUCUGAAAAUACUUUAUGAUGUGUGAAUUCAUCUCACAAAGUUAAACCUUUGUUUUGAUUCAACUGAUUGGAAACACUCUUUUUGUAAAAUCUAUGAAGGGAAAUUUCUGAGCCCAUUUAGGCCUAUAGUGAGAAACAGAAUAUCCCACUGUAAUAAGUAGAAACAAGCUAUCUGUGAAAAUCAUUUAUGGUGGCUGGAUUCAUCUCACCAAAUGAAACCUGUGCUUUGAUUCACCAGUUUGGAAACACUAUUUUUAUAGAAUCUAUGCAGGAAUAUUUCUGAUCCCAUUGAGGCAUAUGCUGAAAAUUCGAAUAUCCCAUGAUAAAAACUACAAACAAGCUAUCUAUGAAAAUGUUUUGUCAUGUGUGGAUUCAUCUCACAGAGUUAAACCUUUGUUUUGAUUCAUCUGUUUGAAAACACGCUUUUUUGUAGAAUCUAAGAAUCAACAUUUCUGAGUGCAUUGAAGCCUAUAGUGAAAAACAAAAUAUCUGAUGAUAAAAACUAGAAACAAGCUAUCUGUGAAAAUGCUUUGUGAUAUGUGGAUUCAUCUCAAAGAAUUAAACUUUAUUUUGAUUCAACAGGCUGGAAACACUGUUUUCGUAGAACCUACAAAAAGACAUUGGGGAGCCCACUGAGUCUUACAGUGAUAAACCAAGGAUCCUGUGAUAAAACUAGAAACAAGCUAUCUGUGAAAAUGCUUUGCAGUUGGUGAAUUUCUUUCAUAGUUAAACCUUUUUUUAUUCAAUACGUUGGAAACACCAUUUUUUAGUGUCUCUAAAGGGACUUUUUCAGCCCUUUGAAACCUAUAGUGAAAAACCAAAUAUCUUGCAAUAAAAACAAAUAAAC
rnacentral:lncRNA from 1 species